rnacentral:rRNA from 1 species
UCUAAGAGGGGAAUAACAUUCUGAAAAGAAUGCUAAUACCGCAUAACAUAUAUUUAUCGCAUGGUAGAUAUAUCAAAGAUUUAUCGCUUAGAGAUGGACUCGCGUCCGAUUAGUUAGUUGGUGAGGUAACGGCUCACCAAGACCGCGAUCGGUAGCCGGACUGAGAGGUUGAACGGCCACAUUGGGACUGAGACACGGCCCAGACUCCUACGGGAGGCAGCAGUGGGGGAUAUUGCGCAAUGGGGGAAACCCUGACGCAGCAACGCCGCGUGAAGGAUGAAGGUCUUCGGAUUGUAAACUUCUUUUAUUAAGGACGAAGAAAGUGACGGUACUUAAUGAAUAAGCUCCGGCUAACUACGUGCCAGCAGCCGCGGUAAUACGUAGGGAGCAAGCGUUGUCCGGAUUUACUGGGUGUAAAGGGUGCGUAGGCGGCUUUGCAAGUCAGAUGUGAAAUCUAUGGGCUCAACCCAUAGCC